CCAUCUUGGAACUGGGUAAGGUGGUGGGCUAAGCAUACUCUUCAGAUUAUGUACUGGGGAUUGUUGCUGUGUG